GCUGUACUCCCUCCGUCCCAUAUUAAGUGUCUCAAAUUUGUCCGAAUAUGAAUGUAUCUAUGACUAGAAAACGAUUAGAUACAUGUAAUAUUUCGACACUUAAUAUGGGACGGAGGGAGUAUAUU
rfam:Brachypodium distachyon strain Bd21 chromosome 3, whole genome shotgun sequence.